AGUGAACGCUGGCGGUAGGCCUAACACAUGCAAGUCGAACGGCAGCACAGUAAGAGCUUGCUCUUACGGGUGGCGAGUGGCGGACGGGUGAGGAAUACAUCGGAAUCUACUUUUUCGUGGGGGAUAACGUAGGGAAACUUACGCUAAUACCGCAUACGACCUACGGGUGAAAGCAGGGGAUCUUCGGACCUUGCGCGAUUGGAUGAGCCGAUGUCGGAUUAGCUAGUUGGCGGGGUAAAGGCCCACCAAGGCGACGAUCCGUAGCUGGUCUGAGAGGAUGAUCAGCCACACUGGGACUGAGACACGGUCCAGACUCCUACGGGAGGCAGCAGUGGGGAAUAUUGGACAAUGGGCGCAAGCCUGAUCCAGCCAUACCGCGUGGGUGAAGAAGGCCUUCGGGUUGUAAAGCCCUUUUGUUGGGAAAGAAAAGCAGCAGGUUAAUACCCCGCUGUUCUGACGGUACCCAAAGAAUAAGCACCGGCUAACUUCGUG
rnacentral:rRNA from 1 species